CCUACGGGCGGCAGCAGUAGGGAAUAUUGCUCAAUGGGGGAAACCCUGAAGCAGCAACGCCGCGUGGAGGAUGAAGGUUUUCGGAUUGUAAACUCCUUUUGUUAGAGAAGAUAAUGACGGUAUCUAACGAAUAAGCACCGGCUAACUCCGUGCCAGCAGCCGCGGUAAUACGGAGGGUGCAAGCGUUACUCGGAAUCACUGGGGGUAAAGAGCGCGUAGGCGGGAUGGCAAGUCAGACGUGAAAUCCUAUGGCUUAACCAUAGAACUGCAUUUGAAACUGUUAUUCUAGAGUAUGGGAGAGGUAGGUGGAAGUCUUGGUGUAGGGGUGAAAUGCGUAGAGAUCGAGAGGAACACUCAUUGCGAAGGCGACCUGCUAGAACAUAACUGACGCUGAUGCGCGAAAGCGUGGGGAGCAAACAGGAUUAGAUACCCUAGUAGUC
rnacentral:rRNA from 1 species